GGCUUUUCAUAAUAGAUUUACUGGGCCUCAGAACGGCCCUUGCUGGGUGAUUAGCUGCUCCUUAAUUGAAAACUCCCUUUCUGCCCCCUCCAGCCCUCCGGGCGGUGCUCAGGCAGAGCGAUGGGGCCCGGGAGCACCCCUCAGCCAUGUGGGCCCCACAGGGGCCUCCCCCUGAACACAGACGGGGGUCUCUCUCACAGCCAACCUGACGGAGUCGGGGGGUUACCAGGACUGUUACCUCCGGGAGGGGAGGGGCCCAACCAGGAUUCAAACCUGUUGUGUCCCAGCCCCACAUCCAGUGCCACGGACUGGGUGGGGCGGGGGGUGUCUUAUCCAGUAGGACCAGGUCCUGGAUGCACACCCUGGGGCUCAGAAUUCAGGCCUUCCCUGAGGAACCAGCGCCAGAGAAGGAGGCCAGCGCCGCCGACCUUGCUGGUGAGCAGAAGCACUCAAGUUGGAGUCCAUGCACCAAACACAUUCACUUAAGGAGGACUCCCAACGCCGGUCCUGCCGCCGCGCGCCGCCCGCUCAGGCGCUCCAGCGGAGCCGCUGCGGAGGGUUCUGCCCAUAAUAAAGACUCCGGACUCGCCUGAGCCGCAGGUUGCCUCCCUCCUCAUCCACCCCUCACUGACGGUCAGGUCCCAGCUGUGGGGCCCCUCCUCCGGCCUCGGCGUCUCAUCUGUAAAAUGAGUCUCAGCUGGGUCUCUUUUGCUAGUAGAGAAGUCAACUGAGGCCCAGCGGGGAGUCGGGGGCGGGGGGCGGGGUCCCAGUGGAGAGAGAGGCUGAAUAGGGGGCUGGGACUCAGGCCUUGCACCACUUCGUACACCUGGGGAAACCUGAGUCCUGGGGAAGCCGACUGCUCGACCAUGCCUGCCCAUCCUCCCCCACCUCCAACACCGGAGCUCACGCCCCCACUUCGUAAACGCGGAAACUGAGGCCCAGAAUGGGGUCUUCGAGGACGAAGUGACGCCCUUUCGCAAGGGAAGGCGCGCAG
rnacentral:lncRNA from 1 species